rnacentral:rRNA from 1 species
GCUCGGAGAUGUGUAUAAGAGACAGGGGGUGACUGCGUACCUUUUGUAUAAUGGGUCAGCGACUUAUAUUCUGUAGCAAGGUUAACCGUAUAGGGGAGCCGCAGGGAAACCGAGUCUUAACUGGGCGUUAAGUUGCAGGGUAUAGACCCGAAACCCGGUGAUCUAGCCAUGGGCAGGUUGAAGGUUGGGUAACACUAACUGGAGGACCGAACCGACUAAUGUUGAAAAAUUAGCGGAUGACUUGUGGCUGGGGGUGAAAGGCCAAUCAAACCGGGAGAUAGCUGGUUCUCCCCGAAAGCUAUUUAGGUAGCGCCUCGUGAACUCAUCUUCGGGGGUAGAGCACUGUUUCGGCUAGGGGGUCAUCCCGACUUACCAACCCGAUGCAAACUACGAAUACCGAAGAAUGUUAUCACGGGAGACACACGGCGGGUGCUAACGUCCGUCGUGAAGAGGGAAACAACCCAGACCGCCAGCUAAGGUCCCAAAGUCAUGGUUAAGUGGGAAACGAUGUGGGAAGGCCCAGACAGCCAGGAUGUUGGCUUAGAAGCAGCCAUCAUUUAAAGAAAGCGUAAUAGCUCACUGGUCGAGUCGGCCUGCGCGGAAGAUGUAACGGGGCUAAACCAUGCACCGAAGCUGCGGCAGCGACACUAUGUGUUGUUGGGUAGGGGAGCGUUCUGUAAGCCGUUGAAGGUGGCCUGUGAGGGUUGCUGGAGGUAUCAGAAGUGCGAAUGCUGACAUAAGUAACGAUAAUGCGGGUGAAAAACCCGCACGCCGGAAGACCAAGGGUUCCUGUCCAACGUUAAUCGGGGCAGGGUGAGUCGACCCCUAAGGCGAGGCCGAAAGGCGUAGUCGAUGGGAAACAGGUUAAUAUUCCUGUACUCGGUGUUACUGCGAAGGGGGGACGGAGAAGGCUAUGUUGGCCGGGCGACGGUUGUCCCGGUUUAAGCAUGUAGGCGGAUGUUCCAGGUAAAUCCGGAACGUUAUCAACGCUGAGGUGUGAUGACGAGGCACUACGGUGCUGAAGUGACAAAUGCCCUGCUUCCAGGAAAAGCCUCUAAGCAUCAGGUAACAUCAAAUCGUACCCCAAACCGACACAGGUGGUCAGGUAGAGAAUACCAAGGCGCUUGAGAGAACUCGGGUGAAGGAACUAGGCAAAAUGGUGCCGUAACUUCGGGAGAAGGCACGCUGAUGGUAAGUGAAGCGACUUGCUCGUGGAGCUGAAAUCAGUCGAAGAUACCAGCUGGCUGCAACUGUUUAUUAAAAACACAGCACUGUGCAAACACGAAAGUGGACGUAUACGGUGUGACGCCUGCCCGGUGCCGGAAGGUUAAUUGAUGGGGUUAUCCGUAAGGAGAAGCUCUUGAUCGAAGCCCCGGUAAACGGCGGCCGUAACUAUAACGGUCCUAAGGUAGCGAAAUUCCUUGUCGGGUAAGUUCCGACCUGCACGAAUGGCGUAAUGAUGGCCAGGCUGUCUCCACCCGAGACUCAGUGAAAUUGAACUCGCUGUGAAGAUGCAGUGUACCCGCGGCAAGACGGAAAGACCCCGUGAACCUUUACUAUAGCUUGACACUGAACACUGGUCCUUGAUGUGUAGGAUAGGUGGGAGGCUUUGAAGUGUGGACGCCAGUCUGCAUGGAGCCAUCCUUGAAAUACCACCCUUUAAUGGCUGGUGUUCUAACGUGGGCCCCUAAUCGGGGUUGCGGACAGUGUCUGGUGGGUAGUUUGACUGGGGCGGUCUCCUCCUAAAGAGUAACGGAGGAGCACGAAGGUCAGCUAAUCCUGGUCGGACAUCAGGAGGUUAGUGCAAUGGCAUAAGCUGGCUUGACUGCGAGCGUGACGGCGCGAGCAGGUGCGAAAGCAGGUCAUAGUGAUCCGGUGGUUCUGAAUGGAAGGGCCAUCGCUCAACGGAUAAAAGGUACUCCGGGGAUAACAGGCUGAUACCGCCCAAGAGUUCAUAUCGACGGCGGUGUUUGGCACCUCGAUGUCGGCUCAUCACAUCCUGGGGCUGAAGUAGGUCCCAAGGGUAUGGCUGUUCGCCAUUUAAAGUGGUACGCGAGCUGGGUUUAGAACGUCGUGAGACAGUUCGGUCCCUAUCUGCCGUGGGCGCUGGAGAAUUGAGGGGGGCUGCUCCUAGUACGAGAGGACCGGAGUGGACGCAUCACUGGUGUUCGGGUUGUCAUGCCAAUGGCAUUGCCCGGUAGCUAAAUGCGGAAGAGAUAAGUGCUGAAAGCAUCUAAGCACGAAACUUGCCCCGAGAUGAGUUCU